GUGGGAGGGGGCUUGCCCCCGAUGGCAGUGUGUCAGCCGGUACAUCUGGUGACUGACACUCCGCUAUCGGGGGCAAGCCCCCUCCCAC
rnacentral:antisense_RNA from 1 species